GAUGAACGCUAGCGGCAGGCUUAACACAUGCAAGUCGAGGGGUAUAGUUAGCUUGCUAAUUAGAGACCGGCGCACGGGUGCGUAACGCGUAUGCAAUCUACCUUUCACAGAGGGAUAGCCCAGAGAAAUUUGGAUUAAUACCUCAUAGUAUAGUACCUUGGCAUCAAGGAACUAUUAAAGUCACAACGGUGAAAGAUGAGCAUGCGUCCCAUUAGCUAGUUGGUAUGGUAACGGCAUACCAAGGCAACGAUGGGUAGGGGUCCUGAGAGGGAGAUCCCCCACACUGGUACUGAGACACGGACCAGACUCCUACGGGAGCAGCAGUGAGGAAUAUUGGACAAUGGGCGCAAGCCUGAUCCAGCCAUGCCGCGUGCAGGAUGACGGUCCUAUGGAUUGUAAACUGCUUUUGCACGGAAGAACAACGCUACGUGUAGCGUCUUGACGGUACUGUGAGAAUAAGGAUCGGCUAAC
rnacentral:rRNA from 1 species